rnacentral:rRNA from 1 species
AUGCAUGUCUAAGCACAGACUUUAACACAGUGAAGCUGCGAAUGGCUCAUUAAACCGGCUAUAAUUUAUUUGAGCUCACUCAGUUACUUGGAUAACUGUGGUAAUUCUAGAGCUAAUACAUGUGACAAGAGGCUCAGACCUUCGGGGACGAGCAAGUUUAUUAGAUCAUAAACCAAUCGGGCCUUGGCUCGAAAGUUGGUGAGCCUGAAUAACUUUGAUUUGAUCGCAGGGCCUUGCGCCGGCGACAUUUCUUUCAAGUGUCCGCCCUAUCAACUUUCGUCGGUAAGCAACUUGCUUACCGAGGUUGUGACGGGUAACGGGGAAUCAGGGUUCGAUUCCGGAGAGGGAGCAUGAGAAACGGCUACCACA